rnacentral:rRNA from 1 species
CAGUAGCCACGGUAAUACAGAGGGUGCGAGCGUUAAUCGGAUUUACUGGGCGUAAAGCGUGCGUAGGCGGCUUUUUAAGUCGGAUGUGAAAUCCCUGAGCUUAACUUAGGAAUUGCAUUCGAUACUGGGAAGCUAGAGUAUGGGAGAGGAUGGUAGAAUUCCAGGUGUAGCGGUGAAAUGCGUAGAGAUCUGGAGGAAUACCGAUGGCGAAGGCAGCCAUCUGGCCUAAUACUGACUCUGAGGUACGAAAGCAUGGGGAGCAAACAGGAUUAGAGACCCCAGUAGUCCCUGUCUCUUAUAA